UACGUAGGUGGCAAGCGUUGUCCGGAUUUACUGGGCGUAAAGAGCGCGCAGGCGGUCAGAUAAGUCGAAUGUGAAAGCCCCCGGCUUAACUGGGGAGGGUCAUUCGAUACUGUUCGACUCGAAGGCAGGAGAGGGAAGCGGAAUUCCCGGUGUAGUGGUGAAAUGCGUAGAUAUCGGGAGGAACACCAGUGGCGAAGGCGGCUCUCUGGACCACAACUGACGCUGAGGCUCGAAAGCUAGGGGAGCAAACAGG
rnacentral:rRNA from 1 species